rnacentral:rRNA from 1 species
GAUGAACGCUGGCGGCGUGCCUAAUACAUGCAAGUCGAGCGAACAGAUAAGGAGCUUGCUCCUUUGACGUUAGCGGCGGACGGGUGAGUAACACGUGGAUAACCUACCUAUAAGACUGGGAUAACUUCGGGAAACCGGCGCUAAUACCGGAUAACAUAUUGAACCGCAUGGUUCAAUAGUGAAAGGCGGCUUUGCUGUCACUUAUAGAUGGAUCCGCGCCGUAUUAGCUAGUUGGUAAGGUAACGGCUUACCAAGGCAACGAUACGUAGCCGACCUGAGAGGGUGAUCGGCCACACUGGAACUGAGACACGGUCCAGACUCCUACGGGAGGCAGCAGUAGGGAAUCUUCCGCAAUGGGCGAAAGCCUGACGGAGCAACGCCGCGUGAGUGAUGAAGGUCUUCGGAUCGUAAAACUCUGUUAUCAGGGAAGAACAAAUGUGUAAGUAACUGUGCACAUCUUGACGGUACCUGAUCAGAAAGCCACGGCUAACUACGUG